rnacentral:tRNA from 1 species
GCCCGUGUAGCUCAGUUGGUUAGAGCAUUUGCCUUUUAAGCAAAGGGUCGAGAGUUCGAAUCUCUCCACGAGCA